rnacentral:rRNA from 1 species
GAUGAACGCUGGCGGCGUGCCUAACACAUGCAAGUCGAGCGAUCUUCUUCGGAAGAGAGCGGCGGACGGGUGAGUAACGCGUGGGUAACCUGCCCUGUACACACGGAUAACAUACCGAAAGGUAUGCUAAUACGAGAUAAUAUGCUUUUAUCGCAUGAUAGAAGUAGCAAAGCUUUUGCGGUACAGGAUGGACCCGCGUCUGAUUAGCUAGUUGGUAAGGUAACGGCUUACCAAGGCGACGAUCAGUAGCCGACCUGAGAGGGUGAUCGGCCACAUUGGAACUGAGACACGGUCCAAACUCCUACGGGAGGCAGCAGUGGGGAAUAUUGCACAAUGGGCGAAAGCCUGAUGCAGCAACGCCGCGUGAGCGAUGAAGGCCUUCGGGUCGUAAAGCUCUGUCCUCAAGGAAGAUAAUGACGGUACUUGAGGAGGAAGCCCCGGCUAACUACGUGCCAGCAGCCGCAGUAA